rnacentral:tRNA from 1 species
GCGAACCUGGCGUAAUUGGUAGCCGCGCUGGAUUUAGGUUCCAGUACCGCAAGGUGUCCGGGUUCGAGUCCCGGGGUUCGCACGA